rnacentral:rRNA from 1 species
CCAGUACCGUGAGGGAAAGGUGAAAAAGAACCCCGGUUAGGGGAGUGAAAUAGUACCUGAAACCGUGCGCCUACAAGCAGCGGAAGCACGUUAAUGUGUGACCGCGUACCUUUUGCAUCAUGAGCCUGUGAGUUACGUUGCGUGGCAAGGUUAAGCCGCAAGGUGGAGCCGCAGCGAAAAGCGAGUCUUAACAGGGCGAGCAGUCGCGUGACGUAGACCCGAAGCCCGUGCGAUCUAUCCAUGUCCAGGUUGAAGGGCGGGUAAUACCGCCUGGAGGACCGAACCCACCGCAGUUGAAAAUGCGGGGGAUGAGGUGUGGGUAGGAGUGAAAGGCUAAUCAAGCCGGGAUAUAGCUGGUUCUCGUCGAAAUGUAUUGAGGUACAGCCUCAGGUGAAUUGCAUUGGAGGUAGAGCACUGAAUGGGCUAGGGGUCUCACCAGAUUACCAAACCCACUCAAACUCCGAAUACCGAUGACAACUGCCUGGGAGUGAGGCAGCGGGAGAUAAGUUCCGUUGCCGAGAGGGAAAGAG